rfam:Acinetobacter towneri strain 5-2Ac02 Scaffold1.1_new, whole genome shotgun sequence.
CUAACUCUGAGGUGUUCGCCAGCGAGUCUAUAUCCCUGCCGAUACUUAAAUCUUAGGAUUGUGUUCUGCAUAUUUAGAGCGUAUGCCCAUCUCGUAUGGGAAACCCAGCAAGUAUGCGUCGCGUCCGCCUUGAACUUUUUCGGGUUCAGGGUAACGACAUGCAGCGGCAUCUUCGGAGCUAUU